AUGGCUCAAUUUCAAUUACACAGUUACAAUUUCUUUCACUUUCCACAGGAUAGAUGUGUCGUUUGCAAAUAGAGUGAAUUCUCCGGAGAUAUUCAGUUUGACAAGGUCAUUUAUAUAAAUUAGGAACAAUAUUGGCCCAAGAACAGAACCCUGAGGGACUCCACAAUUGAUGUUAAGGGCUGAUGGUCUCCCACCCGAGUGCACAACUGAUUGGCUUCGACCUUCAAGCUUAGACAGUAGAAUUCCGCGAUCCACGCAAUCAAAUGCCUUUGACAGAUCGCAGAAGACCGCUGCCGACACAUUACCCUGGUUCACACCAAAGUAAACACUCUCGAGGAAGAUGUACAUUGCAUCCUGAGUACAUUUAGAUGAUUGAAAUCCGAAUUGUCUUGCUGUUAUAAUUUUAAGGGAUUUAAGAUCUUUUUAAAUUUUUCAGUUAUGGGUGUAGAUUCUUGGAUUUAUUUUAAUCAACUCUAAAAUAUAUGUUUAAUAAAAUUAAUUAAAAAAUCUGUAUUUCCAUUUUCAA